UACGUAGGGGGCUAGCGUUGUCCGGAAUCAUUGGGCGUAAAGAGCGUGUAGGCGGCCCGGUAAGUCCGCUGUGAAAGUCGGGGGCUCAACCCUCGAAUGCCGGUGGAUACUGUCGGGCUAGAGUGCGGAAGAGGCGAGUGGAAUUCCUGGUGUAGCGGUGAAAUGCGCGGAUAUCAGGAGGAACACCGGUGGCGAAGGCGGGUCUCUGGGCCGAUACUGACGCUGAGGAGCGAAAGCGUGGGGAGCGAACAGG
rnacentral:rRNA from 1 species